rnacentral:rRNA from 1 species
UUGGAGGGCAAGUCUGGUGCCAGCAGCCGCGGUAGUUCCAGCUCCAAUAGCGUAUAUUAAAGUUGUUGCAGUUAAAAAGCUCGUAGUUGAAUUUCGAGAUCAAUUUGUCGGUCGUGCCUCGGUACGUACUGGCAUUAUUGAUUUCUCCCUUCUGAAGAACCGCGAUGUCAUUAAUUUGGUGUCGUGGGGAAUCAGGACUGUUACUUUGAAAAAAUUAGAGUGUUUAAAGCAGGCGCACGCUUGAAUACAUUAGCAUGGAAUAAUGAAAUAGGACGUUUGAUUCUAUUUUGUUGGUUUCUAGGAUCGACGUAAUGAUUAAUAGGGAUAGUUGGGGGCAUUAGUAUUCAAUUGUCAGAGGUGAAAUUCUUGGAUUUAUUGAAGACUAACUACUGCGAAAGCAUUUGCCAAGGAUGUUUUCAUUAAUCAAGAACGAAAGUUAGGGGAUCGAAGACGAUCAGAUACCGUCGUAGUCUUAACCAUAAACUAUGCCGACUAGGAAUCAGACGAUGUUAAUUUUUUAAUGACUCGUUUGGCACCUUACGGGAAACCAAAGUGUUUGGGUUC